CUCAGAAAGCAGCCAGGUUUCGAACAUGGCACUCUAACCCCAGCCUCACCCCUGUGCAGGUCCGUGGAAACAUCAUCACAACCUCUGGGGGUUGUUGGCUGGCAGGUGACGGAGCAGACUCCAAACCCAGGUCUUUCAGGACGAGCCUGGCACAAGGUGACCUUCCACUCGUCCUGAUC
rnacentral:lncRNA from 1 species